rnacentral:rRNA from 1 species
GACGAACGCUGGCGGCAUGCUUAACACAUGCAAGUCGAACGGCAAGGCCUCUUUCGGGGGGUCCUCGAGUGGCGAACGGGUGAGUAACACGUGAGUAACCUGCCCUUUACUUUGGGAUAACUUCAGGCAACUGGGGCUAAUACCGGAUAGGAGAUCCUGCCUCCGGGUGGGGGCUGGAAAGCUUCGGGUGUUGCGGGUUGGCUUGCGGCUUAUUCGGAUGUUCGGGUGGUCGUGGCUUACCACGGCUUUGACGGGUAGCCGGCCAGAGGGGGUGAGACGCCACACUGGGACUGAGGGGCGGCCCAGACGCCUACGGGUGGCAGCAGUGGGGAAUACUGAUCAAGGGGUAGAAGCCUGAUGCAGCAACGCCUCGUGCGGGAAGGCGGUUUUCGGGUGGAAAACCGGUUUCACUCAUGAAGAAGGCUUGUGUGACGGUAGUGGGUAAAGAAGCACCGGCUAACUACGUG